rnacentral:rRNA from 1 species
UGGUGGGUAGUUUGACUGGGGCGGUCUCCUCCUAAAGAGUAACGGAGGAGCACGAAGGUUGGCUAAUCCUGGUCGGACAUCAGGAGGUUAGUGCAAUGGCAUAAGCCAGCUUGACUGCGAGCGUGACGGCGCGAGCAGGUGCGAAAGCAGGUCAUAGUGAUCCGGUGGUUCUGAAUGGAAGGGCCAUCGCUCAACGGAUAAAAGGUACUCCGGGGAUAACAGGCUGAUACCGCCCAAGAGUUCAUAUCGACGGCGGUGUUUGGCACCUCGAUGUCGGCUCAUCACAUCCUGGGGCUGAAGUAGGUCCCAAGGGUAUGGCUGUUCGCCAUUUAAAGUGGUACGCGAGCUGGGUUUAGAACGUCGUGAGACAGUUCGGUCCCUAUCUGCCGUGGGCGCUGGAGAACUGAGGGGGGCUGCUCCUAGUACGAGAGGACCGGAGUGGACGCAUCACUGGUGUUCGGGUUGUCAUGCCAAUGGCACUGCCCGGUAGCUAAAUGCGGAAGAGAUAAGUGCUGAAAGCAUCUAAGCACGAAACUUGCCCCGAGAUGAGUUCUCCCUGAGACUUAAAGUCUCCUGAAGGAACGUUGAAGACGACGACGUUGAUAGGCCGGGUGUGUAAGCGCAGCGAUGCGUUGAGCUAACCGG